rnacentral:rRNA from 1 species
GAUGAACGCUGGCGGCGUGCCUAAUACAUGCAAGUCGAGCGAACGGACGAGAAGCUUGCUUCUCUAAUGUUAGCGGCGGACGGGCGAGUAACACGUGGAUAACCUACCUAUAAGACUGGGAUAACUUCGGGAAACCGGAGCUAAUACCGGAUAAUAUUUUGAACCGCAUGGUUCAAAAGUGAAAGACGGUCUUGCUGUCACUUAUAGAUGGAUCCGCGCUGCAUUAGCUAGUUGGUAAGGUAACGGCUUACCAAGGCAACGAUGCAUAGCCGACCUGAGAGGGUGAUCGGCCACACUGGAACUGAGACACGGUCCAGACUCCUACGGGAGGCAGCAGUAGGGAAUCUUCCGCAAUGGGCGAAAGCCUGACGGAGCAACGCCGCGUGAGUGAUGAAGGUCUUCGGAUCGUAAAACUCUGUUAUUAGGGAAGAACAUAUGUGUAAGUAACUGUGCACAUCUUGACGGUACCUAAUCAGAAAGCCACGGCUAACUACGUG